ACACGGACCAAGGAGUGCAACAUGUGCGCGAGCCGCUUGGCAAGCAAACCAGAAGGCGCAAUGAAAGUGAAGGCACGGCCGCCGUGCUGAGGUGAGAGCCGUCCCCGGGCGGCGCAUCAUCGACCGAUCCUAUCCGCUCCCCCGUGGUGCGGCGGGAUUCGAGUAAGAGUGCAUCUGUUGCGACCCGAAAGAUGGUGAACUAUGCCUGAAUAGGGUGAAGCCAGAGGAAACUCUGGUGGAGGCCCGUAGCGAUUCUGACGUGCAAAUCGAUCGUCAAAUUUGGGUAUAGGGGCGAAAGACUAAUCGAACCAUCUAGUAGCUGGUUCCCUCCGAAGUUUCCCUCAGGAUAGCUGUAGCCCGAAGCAGUUUUAUCAGGUAAAGCGAAUGAUUAGAGGUAUCGGGGAAGAAACUUCCUCGACCUAUUCUCAAACUUUAAAUAGGUAAGAAGUCCGACUUGCUCAAUUUGAAGCCGGACACAGAAUGCUGGGUUACUAGUGGGCCAUUUUUGGUAAGCAGAACUGGCGAUGCGGGAUGAACCGAACGCCGAGUUAAGGUGCCAAAGUCGACGCUCAUCAGAUCCCACAAAAGGUGUUGGUUGAUAUAGACAGCAGGACGGUGGCCAUGGAAGUCGGAAUCCGCUAAGGAGUGUGUAACAACU
rnacentral:rRNA from 1 species